rnacentral:pre_miRNA from 1 species
CCAGGCCCAAGUUCUGUGAUACACUUCGACUCUGAGUCCGGGCCAGUCAGUGCAUAACAGAACUUUGGUUUGGG